rnacentral:rRNA from 1 species
GGAGUUAGCCGGUGCUUCUUCUGCGAGUAACGUCACAGAUGUAAGGUAUUAACUUACACCCUUUCCUCCUCGCUGAAAGUGCUUUACAACCCGAAGGCCUUCUUCACACACGCGGCAUGGCUGCAUCAGGGUUUCCCCCAUUGUGCAAUAUUCCCCACUGCUGCCUCCCGUAGGAGUCUGGGCCGUGUCUCAGUCCCAGUGUGGCUGAUCAUCCUCUCAGACCAGCUAGGGAUCGUCGCCUAGGUGAGCCUUUACCUCACCUACUAGCUAAUCCCACCUGGGCUUAUCCAUCAGCGCAAGGCCCGAAGGUCCCCUGCUUUCCCCCGUAGGGCGUAUGCGGUAUUAGCAGUCGUUUCCAACUGUUAUCCCCCACAAAUGGGCAAAUUCCCAGGCAUUACUCACCCGUCCGCCGCUCGUCAUCUUCAAAAGCAAGCUUUUGAAAUGUUACCGCUCGACUUGCAUGUGUUAGGCCUGCCGCCAGCGUUCAUCUGAGCCAUGAUACAACUACUGA